ACAGCAUUCAACUUCCAGCUAAGCCUCGAUUUAUUACCAAAAAGGCAUGCAGCUGAAAGCGAUCCUGGUGGGGUUGGCCAUUCUUGGUCUCAUUGUGGCAGAGGGAGGCGCCAUGCCGGCCAGCAGCUCCAGCGAAGCCGAAGCUAGGGUUGAUCCCGAGACUGCUGAGCGUGCCGAGCAGAGCAACGCCGAGGAGGCACGUAUCAGCGAGGGAUGCCUGGCAUCCCUGUGCGGGUAGUAACCUGAUGCAAGACAGUGACACGUUCGAAAGAUCAUCUCUCGCAAGAGUAUCACGAAUGCUUCAAAAGAAAAUACCGGCACUGUCCAGCGCUCCACAUCAUCUUCCAGUCGCGAAUAUUGGCGCUUGUUGAUCGCUGGUGCAUGUGCUCUUGUUCUAAAAGCUACAAUAAAAUAUGAGACCUUGAA